rnacentral:ncRNA from 2 species
UAUUUUUGUUUUGCAUUCGGUUCUUAUUAGAUUAAAAAGGGAAUCCUGUGAAAAUCAGGAACUAUCCCCGUAGCUGUAAGUUUGAUUGAUGUUUAUCCAAAUAGGCCACUUUUUUGUUUUUCAAAAUGGGAAGGCGGAUAAAUUAAAAACAAGUCAGAAGACCUGCCGCAUGUAUUUAACUCGU